rnacentral:rRNA from 1 species
AUGGACAUACAAGCUAUGCCAGUUAGGAAGGCUUGUACGCAAAUGCUUAAAGGUGUGAUUCGCCAACAACGAUACAGGCUCAAGCAGAAGUAUUUCAAUCCUUUCCCACUCAAUUUGGUGACAAAAACUUCUCCAGUCUGCUCGAUGACUGAUGAACAAUGGAAUGAGCUUGUGGAAAGCUGGAAGGGUCCCAAAAAAAUGGAGAUAUGUGGAAUUAACAAAAAUAACCAUGCUCAAGUCAAGUUUCACCAAACUACUGGUUCGCGCAGCUACCCUGUGCACUGUGAUAACCUGGGAGACAAAUACAAGGAGAAAGAACCUACUGCACUGGAUUUAUUCAAGGAGUGCCACUACAACAGCAAAAAGAAAGGCUACACUGAUGAUGCGCAAGCUGCA